UUGGGUUGUAAACCCCUUUUCUCAGGGAAGAAGAAAGUGACGGUACCUGAGGAAUCAGCCUCGGCUAACUCCGUGCCAGCAGCCGCGGUAAUACGGAGGAGGCAAGCGUUAUCCGGAAUGAUUGGGCGUAAAGCGUCCGCAGGUGGCUCAUCAAGUCUGCUGUUAAAUCCAGUAGCUUAACUACUGAGUGGCAGUGGAAACUGAGGAGCUAGAGUGCGGUAGGGGCAGAGGGAAUUCCUGGUGUAGCGGUGAAAUGCGUAGAGAUCAGGAAGAACACCGGUGGCGAAAGCGCUCUGCUGGGCCGCAACUGACACUCAGGGACGAAAGCUAGGGGAGCGAAUGGGAUUAGAUACCCCAGUAGUCCUAGCUGUAAACGAUGGAGACUAGGUGUUGCCUGUAUCGACCCGGGCAGUGCCGUAGCUAACGCGUUAAGUCUCCCGCCUGGGGAGUACGCACGCAAGUGUGAAACUCAAAGGAAUUGACGGGGGCCCGCACAAGCGGUGGAGUAUGUGGUUUAAUUCGAUGCAACGCGAAGAACCUUACCAGGGCUUGACAUGUCCGGAAGCUUGGGGAAACUCGAGUGUGCCUUCGGGAGCCGGAACACAGGUGGUGCAUGGCUGUCGUCAGCUCGUGUCGUGAGAUGUUGGGUUAAGUCCCGCAACGAGCGCAACCCUCGUCCUUAGUUGCCAGCAUUAAGUUGGGCACUCUAGGGAGACUGCCGGUGACAAACCGGAGGAAGGUGGGGAUGACGUCAAGUCAUCAUGCCCCUUACGUCCUGGGCGACACACGUACUACAAUGGGAAGGACAAAGGGCAGCCAACUUGCGAGAGUGAGCUAAUCCCAGAAACCUUUCCUCAGUUCAGAUUGCAGGCUGCAACUCGCCUGCAUGAAGGAGGAAUCGCUAGUAAUCGCAGGUCAGCAUACUGCGGUGAAUCCGUUCCCGGGCCUUGUACACACCGCCCGUCACACCAUGGAAGUUAACCAUGCCCGAAGUCAUUACUCUAACCCGUAUGGGAGGGGAAUGCCGAAGGCAGGG
rnacentral:rRNA from 1 species